UGCUUCAUAUGUUUGAUUGUAUGCAAACUCAGUGAGCUUCCUUGUUACUCAGCUAUAAAAACUUCCCAUCAGGCCGUCAGUGGAGUUCACAGCACGUCACUUUCAACAUCAACCAUGUUUUCUGUAGCUCUGCUGCUGCUGCUGGCAGCUGGAUGUGUGAAGUGUGAACAGUUGACACAGCCAGCCUCUGUGACUGUGCAGCCAGGUCAGAGUCUGACCAUCACCUGUCAGGUCUCUUAAUCUGUUAGCAGCUACUACACAGCCUGGAUCAGACAGCCUGCAGGGAAAGGACUGGAGUGGAUUGGAAUGAGAUACACUGGAGCCGCUUACUACAAAGAUUCACUGAAGAACCAGUUCAGUAUCGACUUAGACUCCUCCAGAAACACAGCGACUCUGAACGGACUGAAUAUGCAGCCUGCAGACACUGCAGUGUAUUACUGUGCCAGAGACCCACAGUGACACAACCCAUCAGUAGAGCUGAACAAAAACCCCUCAGAGCCUGAACACCAGUAACAUGAAGCCACCAGAGGAGGAGCCCUCACACCAA